GGUUAGCGAAGCCGUAAGGUGGAGCUAAUCCUUUAAAGCUACUCUCAGUUCGGACUGUAGGCUGAACCUCACCUACAUGAUGCUGGAGUUACUAUUAAUCGCAGAACUGAAUGCUGCGGUAAAUGCAGUCCCGGGUCUUGUACUCACCGCCCGUCACACCACGGGAGUUGGAGACGCCCGAAGCCGAUUAUCUAACCUUUUGGAAGAAGUCGUCGAAGGUGGAAUCAAUAACUGGGGUGAAGUCGUAACAAGGUAGCCGUAUCGGAAGGUGCGGCUGGAUCACCUCCUUUCUAAGGAGA
rnacentral:rRNA from 1 species